AACGAAUGCUGGCGGCAGGCCUAACACAUGCAAGUCGAACGCCCCGCAAGGGGAGUGGCCGACGGGUGAGUAACACGUGGGAACCUUCCCUAUAGUACGGAAUAGCCCAGGGAAACUUGGAGUAAUACCGUAUACGCCCGAAAGGGGAAAGAAUUUCGCUAUAGGAUGGGCCCGCGUAGGAUUAGCUAGUUGGUGAGGUAAUGGCUCACCAAGGCGACGAUCCUUAGCUGGUUUGAGAGAACGACCAGCCACACUGGGACUGAGACACGGCCCAGACUCCUACGGGAGGCAGCAGUGGGGAAUAUUGGACAAUGGGCGCAAGCCUGAUCCAGCCAUGCCGCGUGAGUGAUGAAGGCCUUAGGGUUGUAAAGCUCUUUUGGCGGGGACGAUAAUGACGGUACCCGCAGAAUAAGUCCCGGCUAACUUCGUG
rnacentral:rRNA from 1 species